GAUGAACGCUGGCGGCGUGCCUAAUACAUGCAAGUCGAGCGAACGGACGAGAAGCUUGCUUCUCUGAUGUUAGCGGCGGACGGGUGAGUAACACGUGGAUAACCUACCUAUAAGACCGGGAUAACUUCGGGAAACCGGAGCUAAUACCGGAUGAUACUUUGAACCGCAUGGUUCAAAAGUGAAAGACGGUCUUGCUGUCACUUAUAGAUGGAUCCGCGCUGCAUUAGCUAGUUGGUAAGGUAACGGCUUACCAAGGCAACGAUGCAUAGCCGACCUGAGAGGGUGAUCGGCCACACUGGAACUGAGACACGGUCCAGACUCCUACGGGAGGCAGCAGUAGGGAAUCUUCCGCAAUGGGCGAAAGCCUGACGGAGCAACGCCGCGUGAGUGAUGAAGGUCUUCGGAUCGUAAAACUCUGUUAUUAGGGAAGAACAUAUGUGUAAGUAACUGUGCACAUCUUGACGGUACCUAAUCAGAAAGCCACGGCUAACUACGUG
rnacentral:rRNA from 1 species